UUUAAUACGCGGCGAUUACGUCCGCACCAAAACAAGCUUUCUUUAAAUAAAAACGAUGCAUUUGCUUCCGCGCUCUGCAAGCUUCAGGUUAAGGUGCUCGGCCGCUGCUUCCAUAUUGGGCCCUGGAAGAGGAUACAGAGAGAUGGGUGGCUAAAUAAAGACCAUUUUCACCUCUGACCUGCCUCCGGAGGGAAACUGGAGAGUUGGCAUGAAGAAAUCAAGGGGGGGAUUUAGGUUACCGAUGCCCCUCUUGCCCUUUCCUGGAACAAUCUACAGUUGCUAUUAAUGAGCUGCCACCCUUAGCUCGAGAGGCUACACAGCAAUACGAAUGAAAGAUAUUGGGACAGAGGAGCUUUGGCGGCAGGUGGAUGGGGAAAUCUCAGCCUAGGGAAUCAACAACUGCAUUCCAGCAGGACAAAGCACUUUCUGAAAUUCCUAAAGAGCAUUUCUGGAUUCAAAUCAGAGAGCCAAGGGAGCCUGACUCCAGUUGCCACCGAGUUGGAGGAGGCAGCCAACACCGCCGACGCGUCUCCUGAUCUCACAGGUACA